GUGAUGAAUGCAAUGAUUUAUUGCUGGAUGGCUUACUAUAAGACGCUGAGCUCCAGUUCUUGAAAAAGGAUUGGAUGAUGAUAUAGUCCAAAUUAAAACACAUAAUAUUAAUUAUGUCGAGGCCAGCAGCAGCGGUAAUACAGAGACCCCGAGCAUUAUCCGGAAUUACUGGGCGUAAAGGGCACGUAGUCGGUUGUGAUAGUCUGAUGUUAAAUCUCAUCGCUCAACGGUGAGGCCGCAUUAGAAACGUCACGUCUAGAGCAAGUCAGAGGCACGCGGAACGUGUGGUGUAGCGGUGAAAUGCAUUGAUAUCACACGGAACACCAAAAGCGAAAGCAGCGUGCUGGGGCUUUGCUGACGAUGAGGUGCGAAAGCGUGGGGAUCAAAAAGGAUUAGAUACCCUUGUAGUCCACGCCCUAAACUAUGCAGACUAGCUAUGGGGAGCAUCGACCCUCUCCGUGGCGCAGCUAACGCAUUAAGUCUGCCGCCUGGGAAGUACGAUCGCAAGAUUAAAACUCAAAGGAAUAGGCGGGAGUUCGCACAAGCGGUGGAUCAUGUGGUUCAAUUCGACACUGAGCGAAAAACCUCACCAGGGCUUGAAAUCCAGCUGCACGCUUCCCGAAAGGGAGGAAGCCUUCGAGGGUGCUGGACAGGUGAUGCACGGCUGAAAUUAUCGGCCAUCGAGAGAGUAAUCUCUCGAAAAAAAUUCCAACUCAUAACGGUGAAACCCGACCCUCUCCAUGCUAUAAUGGGAAGAUGGGCAAUACCGUGGGAAGUCCCGCCAAAGCGGGAUCCCGUAGAGACUCGCUCCGACAUUCAUUGUCGGAGCCUAUAGCUACACACGAUCAGUUAUAAAGCUAUAAAACGUUGGCUCCUUCGUCGCAUAUAGCUAUGAAGGAUGAAAGUAUAGUCCGUACCAUUAGGAAUAGUGGAAGUAUACGGUCGUCAGCUCGUCAGGUGAAAUAAAAGUCGCCUAGUUAUGUGGCAACAUAUAACUGUAAUCAGCUCAUAU
rnacentral:rRNA from 1 species